AUCGCUUCUCGGCCUUUUGGCUAAGAUCAAGUGUAGUAUCUGUUCUUAUCAGUUUAAUAUCUGAUACAUCCUCUAUCCGAGGACAAUUAAAAAAAACUGAUUAUGUUAACUACUGGUGCUUUCUGUGACCAGCUGUUUCAGAGAAUAAGCAGAAUUUUUGGUUUAGUAACUCAUAUGUUUUCUGUCUUCCUC